CCCGUGUUUGAGUUCUUCACCUCCAGCUCCUGGCACGUGUCAUGUUGGUUUUGGUGCCCUGAUCUGGGUCAGCGCGUCCUGCAGUUUCCUCAGGUUCCAGACUCGACAAACCUGAUGGUCUGAGAAACCCUGCAGCCAAAUCCUGUAGCUCCGUCCGUGGAGCUUCUAUUACUGAUCUGCCUCCCUGUCUGAAGGAACUAAAUCUGCGUCUGAAACCCAGUCUGAACGAACCGAAACACCAGGAAAGCUGGACUCUUUAGAGCAGCAGCAGCUGAAAUGCUGAACGGGACCUUCAGCUCGAGCCUGUGGAGAACUUUGGGUCCAGCAGACAAACGAAGAGCCCAGAGGGAGCCAAGCUCCGUCUGUCUCUGCGUCUUUACGCGCGGGGACGCACUGCUUACCAGGACGGACCCUGAGCCGUGGAUCGACAUUCACACCCACGGACGCGCGGACACCCGUACGGAAGCUCUGAGCUGCCACUGCGAAAAAUAUUUUUUGGAACAGCUUCUCGUAAUAACGAGAAAGUAUCUCGUAAUAACGAGAAAGUAUCUCGUUAUAACGUGAUAGGUUUCUCGUAAUAACGAGAAACAUAUCUCGUUAUUACGAGAAACCUAUCACGUUAUAACGACAUACUUUCUCGUAAUAACGACAUAGUUGUUUACAGUAAAACGUCAUCUUCUCGCGGGACAUUUCAUUCUCGUCUUGAUGACCUGUGGGAAAAGAUGGAGAAUCAGCGGGAGCCUCUUUAUUCCUUUUUAAGGGAUAGAAAUGUGUCAGAGGACAGAAUUUCCACCAUGAGGAAUGACAAAAUCGACAUCUCUGAGGCUGGACGAAGAAACACUACCUGAAGAUUUUGAGAGGGUUAAGAAAACCUACUGACUGACUUCCUUCAUGGAUGCAGAUAGAGGACAUUUGCAUUCUCUAAUUAAAGUGUACUUUUCAAUGGGGUUAAACCAUAGAGAAAUACUGCUUUCACUCAGCGCUGUUGAUAGAAUAAUAAUCAGCCUUCGGACUCUUCGAAGAAUCUUGUCAACACUGAGACUUCACAGAAGAAAAAACCAAAGUGACGUUCUUGACAUUGCAUUAUUUCUUAUUGGACAACUGCAGACUUAUGGUCAACUUAAUGGAUACAAACUGCAACAUCUUAGAUGUAUACAGGAGGGAUUUGUUGUCACCCAGAACACAGUGAGACAGUUAAUCAAAAUUCUGGAUCCCAGAGGUGUUGAGUUGAGACAACGUAAUCGUCUCCGUCGUCGACUGUAUUGUAAUCCUGGACCAAACUUUAUUUGGCAUGUGGACUCUUAUGAUAAACUGAAACCAUAUGGAAUUUGUCUGAAUGGGGCUGUGGAUGGGUUUUCCAGAAUGGUUAUCUGGCUUCAUGCAUACUCUACAAACAGUAAUCCUAAAAUUAUUGCUGGAUAUUUCAUUUCAGAAGUUGAGAAAAGAGGUGGUACUGCAGCCAGAGUCCGUACAGACAUGGGGACAGAGAACGGUACAAUGGAAGACAUUCAAAGAAUUUUACGCCUUGAUAAUGAUGACAGCUUUGCCAGAAAUUGCUUCAUUUUAGGAUCCAGCACCCACAAUCAGCGAAUAGAGAGCUGGUGGGCUUUCUUAAGGAAACACCAUGCACAGUACAGGAUUAACGUUUUUCAAAACUGAAGGAUUCAGAUGAUUUCACUGGGGACUUCUUGGACAAGCAGCUGAUUCUUUUCACCUGUUUGAAGAUCAUUGAGGAAGAGCUUCAAAAUGUUUUUCAUUUAUGGAACACUCACAUCAUUCGUCAGAGCAGAAAUGAGAUUGCUCCAAGUGGCCGACCAUGCAUGAUGUAUACCCUCCCGCAGCUUUUUGGUGGACAAGAUUAUUUGAAGCAAGUUUCCGAGCAAGCAGUGGCAACUUGCAAAGCACAUUGUCUUCAGAGGGGACCAGACACAUGUGAUGAAACCGUCUUCUCACUAUCCUGCCUCCUGAUGGCAGAAAACUGUCUUCAUGCACCGACCACACCAAAUGAAGCAAUUGAACUGUAUCUAUUUUUAAGAGCUUCCAUACGUUCAAACCUGUCAGACAUGCAACACUGGUUCAAAUCAACAGUUUCCUGCUUUUUUUAAAAUUAACUUCUGUGUACUCAUAAUUGGUGUCAUAUUGUCCUUUCAUGCACCUUCAUAUGUUUUGUUUACAGAACUUGAAACUUUUUGCUGUUGUGUAUGACUGAAAAAAUGCUAUGACAUAAGAGUAGUGGAAUGUUAGUAAGAUAUGGAUCUAGGUUUACUCAGUUUUCUCAUAAAUGUGUAAGAUAUUUAGAUAUGUAAAUUGUACAUAAUAUACAUUUAAGUGUACAUGUUGGAGAACAAUUUAGAAAAUGUCAUUAAAAAUGUUAAAUCUAUAAUACAGUACACAACCUAUUCAAAUUUGGUCCAAUUUAUAAACCACACCCCACCUCAGUAAA